UUACACUGGCAGGGGAGAUACUGUGAUCACAGCAGUGGCUUUCCCAGGGCCGGGCUCACCCACCGCACUCCGGCUGUGCUGACCCCUGCCACGUCCCCAAAUGUGGGGAACUCGACUGCAUAACUUGUGGUCAUGGGGGGGCUGUGUUCAUGUUCUCCCCUG